AUUGAACGCUGGCGGCAGGCUUAACACAUGCAAGUCGAGCGGGGGAAGGUAGCUUGCUACCGGACCUAGCGGCGGACGGGUGAGUAAUGCUUAGGAAUCUGCCUAUUAGUGGGGGACAACAUCUCGAAAGGGAUGCUAAUACCGCAUACGUCCUACGGGAGAAAGCAGGGGAUCUUCGGACCUUGCGCUAAUAGAUGAGCCUAAGUCGGAUUAGCUAGUUGGUGGGGUAAAGGCCUACCAAGGAGACGAUCUGUAGCGGGUCGGAGAGGAUGAUCCGCCACACUGGGACUGAGGAACGGCCCAGACUCCUACGGGAGGCAGCAGUGGGGAGUAUUGGACAAUGGGGGGAACCCUGAUCCAGCCAUGCCGCGUGUGUGAAGAAGGCCUUAUGGUUGUAAAGCACUUUAAGUGAGGAGGAGGCUACUUUAGUUAAUACCUAGAGAUAGUGGACGUUACUCGCAGAAUAAGCACCGGCUAACUCUGUGCCAGCCGCCGCGGUAA
rnacentral:rRNA from 1 species